rnacentral:rRNA from 1 species
UACGUAGGGGGCAAGCGUUGUCCGGAUUUAUUGGGCGUAAAGAGCGUGUAGGCGGCCAUGUAGGUCCGGUGUGAAAACUCGAGGCUCAACCUCGAGACGCCGAUGGAAACCGUCUGGCUAGAGUCCGGAAGAGGAGAGUGGAAUUCCUGGUGUAGCGGUGAAAUGCGCAGAUAUCAGGAAGAACACCCGUGGCUAAGGCGGCUCUCUAGUACGGUACUGACGCUGAGACGCGAAAGCGUGGGGAGCGAACAGG